AGUGAACGCUGGCGGUAGGCCUAACACAUGCAAGUCGAACGGCAGCACAGUAAGAGCUUGCUCUUACGGGUGGCGAGUGGCGGACGGGUGAGGAAUACAUCGGAAUCUACUUUUUCGUGGGGGAUAACGUAGGGAAACUUACGCUAAUACCGCAUACGACCUACGGGUGAAAGCAGGGGAUCUUCGGACCUUGCGCGAUUGAAUGAGCCGAUGUCGGAUUAGCUAGUUGGCGGGGUAAAGGCCCACCAAGGCGACGAUCCGUAGCUGGUCUGAGAGGAUGAUCAGCCACACUGGAACUUGGACACGGACAAGGCUCCUACGGGAGGGAACAGUGGGGAAUGUUGGGCAAUGGGCGCAAGCCUGAUCCAGCCAUACCGCGUGGGUGACGAAGGCGUUCGGGUUGUAAAGCCCUUUUGUUGGGAGAGAAAAGCAGCAGGUUAAUACCCCGCUGUUCUGACGGUACCCAAAGAAUAAGCACCGGCUAACUACGUG
rnacentral:rRNA from 1 species